rnacentral:rRNA from 1 species
AUGGUCUGCAUGGCUGGACAUUUUAAAAUGGCUUCUGUGCUGAAGCUAAUGAUGGAAAAUCAUGCCACACCUGAUGAGGUGAUUAAUGAGAAGAGUGCUUCACAUAUCCUACACAAGCAACUUCUUAGCGCACACGAACCAAAUUUGCUUGAUGAAGAUGAUAUGCAUAUAUUCGGAUCAAAACCUAUGGCUGAUCCAUUGGACCUGGUCCGCUGUGAUACAUGCCAGAAGCCUGUUAAGGCCAGCCAUUAUGCACCUCAUGCAGAGCGAUGUAGCUCAGGGAAGGUGAACCCAAACGAUUCGAUGGGUGUAGAAGACGAUGUUCAUCCUAUGAAGCCUCCAAAGAAGGGCAGGAAAAUAAAGCUGACAAGCAAUGGAAAUCAAAAGGUACAUAUAAAAGUGAAAUUAAAGUCUCAGCCUGAAAAUAAGAACAUAGUCAAUGACUUUGAGUUGACCAAUGGAAAUGAGAGCAAACAUUUAAAUUCUAUUGCUGAUCAAAGGUUCAAAACACCUGCCAUCAAUGCUCCUGAAAGUCGUUUUAGAGAUGUGCCAGCUCCUCUUGCUACAAAAAUGUAUCAUUCACGGGGAAACUACCAGCUUCGAUUGGAGCUUGCUCAGCUUUACCGUGAAUCAUGCGCGGAGCAGUCACACAGCUAUGCAAGUAAUACAACUCCAAACUCGUCACAGAAUAAUGGGUUGGUACCAUGUGAUAAUUCAACAUUACAUGGUUCUGAUGAUUCGGUAUUACAUGGUUCUGAUAAUUCAGUAUUACAUGCUUCUCGGAACAGCAGCAUUCCUCAAAAAAAGCUUCUAGAUCAGCUGCCUGCAAGCACAUCAGGGUUGUGCUCAGGAAUCUCUCCACAAUUAUCAUCAAGCGGGCCAAGUCGUCUGCAGGCAACAAAAGCUCAGAGAGCAGACACUCCAGUAUCUGCAGUUAGAAAUGAAUUGGGAAGAAGCAGGUGCAACAAAGCGGCAGUUCCUUCAAAAACCACAGGCAAAAAGAAGACGCAGAAGCAAUCUAACGCUCUACCUGCAAGCUAA